UCCACGCCCUAAACGAUGAAUGCUAGUCGUCGGAAAGCUCGUCUUUUCGGUGAUGCAGUUAACACAUUAAGCAUUCCGCCUGGGGAGUACGGUCGCAAGAUUAAAACUCAAAGGAAUAGACGGGGACCCGCACAAGUGGUGGAGCAUGUGGUUUAAUUCGAAAAUACGCGAAGAACCUUACCAAGCCUUGACAUUGAUUGAAUUCCGCAGAGAUGUAGAAGUGCCUUUCGGGGAACAUGAAAACAGGUGCUGCACGGCUGUCGUCAGCUCGUGUCGUGAGAUGUUGGG
rnacentral:rRNA from 1 species